rnacentral:lncRNA from 1 species
CAUAUCUGGCUACGCUCCAAGCUCCUCGUCGUACUCAACGACGCCGCCUCUCUCGAGCACACGCCUGCGUCCAUCUCACGUACGACGACACGUCUCUUUUUCCUAGCGCCGCGAGGCGAGUGGCACCUUCACUGAUACAGCGACACGACUCUGCUACUCAGCGUUGCAAGGCGAUAGUUCGCUCCCGUUGGCCGCGUCUCCCACACGCACUACGCGUCCCGAGAUGAAGGGACGCUUCGACGGCCGGAUGCUGGCGUGCAAGCAAGGCAACGACGACUGUAGAGGCCCGCAUGCGAGCGAGGCUCCGACCGCCCGAUGCGUGGGAGACAAGGUCGCGACUGUUUUUCCGACUGCUCACACGCGUGGGAGAUGAACACUGCGACGAAGGCCCAUGGCGGCACUGGAGCGAGGCGAGGGUGGCUACUGGCUAUCGUGCGGAGCAGGUAAACCCAACCGCAAUCCACCUUUUCGGAAAUGAAAUUGGGCGAUGGAGGGCGGCUCCAUGUUCUACUACUCCGCACCCCAAACUCGAAUCCACCUGGUUGUCUCCUAGGUCAUCAUGUCUGCUCUAUCCCCGUCUAGCUGCAGUCGUUGCUGCCCCGGGCGACGACGUCCUGUUCUCGUCCAUGUCCGUCUCCCGCGUGGCUCCACACCAUGGCGAGGUGAACCACGCGCUGCAUGCCGCAGCAUCCCUAUACGGUGGGGACCAAAACGUGCAUCGACGAUGUGAACAUGUACCAUCCCGGCGAUGGCGACGGAAACGGGAAGAGCGACGCCGCUGUUUUGCUCAGGAGACAGAGGCUUAUGGCUGUUUGUGGGACCUUUCAUCUGGGAGUGGACUGUUCUGGAUGCACAACAUGUGUUUGAGGUAAUGCCCAUUGGAUGUCCCUUUUCCUUUUUCUUUAAUCAACAUCGCUCUAAAUCCGAGCGCAGACGCAACAGCAUCAUCUCCUUUCUCGUCCUACCCUGUCCGCACCUCACCAGCUCCACCCGAUGGCUUUUUCCCUUUAUUUUUCCCACAACAUGCAAGCUGUAGCUAAAGCCACUGAAGAUCAGACAGACGCAACACAACAACAUCCACUCCCGCCGGCUUUCUCAUUGAUUUCCCACAAGGCGAAAGCUGAAGCUCAAGCCGCUGUUGGCCAACCAUCAACAUUUGCGUUUUUACUGUACCUAUUUGAAAUCUAAUGUUUUUUCCUUUCCUUUCAAUCACAUAAACAUUUACCCGUUUUUAGCCUCUCAGAGCUUAGAAAUAUUCUAAAUAAUGUCAUUUCAUUAUGCAAUAUGGAUUACAUAUGAUACAACUUCUUCGCCAUGCAAAAAAUUAACAUUUUUAGAGCUUACUUGAACUUGAUGACAAUAUAUUAUUGGAGGGGACUCAUGUGUUCUGUGGCAGAACCACCCGAAUUAUUCCAGCUUAAGUGCCUAAGUCACGCCUCAGGGGCCGUAACACACUUAAAUCGGAAUAACCCGUCAGUCCCUCAGAUCUAGUCUGAUAGAGCCACUUAACCAGGAUCAAAUUCCACAAUCCCACUCGAAGGUGAGUCACAGAAGAAAUACAAUAAAACAGGAAACCUCAAAUUAAGUACUGAGUUAUUACAUAAAUCGGAGUUUUUUAGUAGCAAAUAAAGUUCAUAAAUUAAAGUGCAGCGGAUAAUCGAUGUCGUCGGUAAUGAGGAAAUGGGCAAGGCCUAGCCCACUACUCCUCAUGCUCCUCUCCUGCCGGAGCAACAUCCCACUCGACCGUCCAACCCGGUGGCAGGGUGGUAGGCCAAGUCACACCAUCAACCAAAUCCUGCAUGGUACCUGCAAAAAUGGUGCCACAAGCAAGGCUGAGUAUACUAAUACUCAGCUAGACUUAACCGGUGUGAGGCGUCUACUCCUCUACCUCUAGACUAUGCAGCUGUUUGGCUGAGGGGUUUGGUUUGCCAAAAGCACUAGCUGUUUCUAAAAUCAAUUUUUAGCUUUUCAAAUUCUACCAUUAUUAACUUAGCUAGAUUUGCUCCUUCUAAGCAUUCAUGGUAACAAUCAGUUAGAUCAAUCAACAAAUUAUCUCAUAUAAUCCACAUUUCACUUCUUACUCGAUGCAGUACAAGGAAUCAAGCAGUCUCAUUAGCUGCAAGAAGCAGACGAUUCGAAUCGAGUUUUAAACCUUGCAGGGUAAACCUAAACACACGGCAUGUCAGGGUACUCCGACCCCACACAUGACAACCGUCCCCAUCGAUUCCCCGUUCGCGUCUAGGCCUCACCGCCUUGGCAUACAAUGCUCCACUGACCCCGGCUGCCGCCGUGCAGUGACCGCACUUGUACCCACCAUAGCUAGCAUGGGAGACCCAGUCUCAGGUCGCAUGAGGGAUAAAGUCCGCGCCCGGCUUCACUCAGGUACUAGGUUUACCGGUUACCAUUUUUCCCGGCAUGUGCUUAGUACGUUCAAAAGCUUGACUCAGGUAUCCACACAUUAAUCCUUAAUUCAUUUUUCCCGUCUCAUGGACAAGGCAUCCUCCCUGGAUCCAAGUCCAUAGACCAACAUAUAUCCCAUUAUCAAGAUGAAUACAAUCAAUUCCUGACCUCGCGCGAGUGCUAGAAAAAUCACUCGACUUCUACCGAGAUCCUGAUUAGCAAGCAGCUACUCGACCUAGCAUACUAGUAUUCAUCUCAAAAAGGAAUCCUAAGUUCAUGCAGCUAGAGGUUUCAAGCAACUCCUACACUUAAGUGCACAUUGCAAUCCUACAAGCAUUAAGUGUAGUAAAGUAGCAUAUAAUAACAUGGUUAUGCAUAAAACCGGGGCUUGCCUUCAAUUGCUGGGGCUGCGGGGAGAUCCUCAAUAGCAGCCUCUGAAGCCUGCUCCUGGUCCUCCUCUUGGACAGGUCCUUGCUCGGGGAUGAGCACGUACUCUCCGUCGGCAAGAUUACAAUCUAAUGAAUGCAAUGCGUAAGAUAUAUGCAUGAUAUGAUAUGUGCUUUUAGAAAUUACAACUUUAAAGGGGUAUGAUCUUUUGAGUUUAAACAAGUUAACUUUACUUAUGUAAAACCCUUGGGUGGUAUACUUGGUAAAUUGGGUUAAACUUAGCUAAGGUAAGUGGUAGGUUUAUUUUUGGGUUUCUACUGAAUUAUUUUUAAGUCUUAGGGAGAAUUGAUAAGUUCUCAAGUUAGACUCAUUGGGAUGAGGUUCAUUCCUUCUUUCCUUUUCUUUUAUUCUUUUAAUGUUUUGGAGUAGGUUUGAACUACAAGUUGCUUUUAUAAAAUUCCAAAAAUUCUGCACAAAUUACAGUGGCUUGUUACUGGUGUAUGAUUCUCUGUCACAAAAUUUGAGGGUCAUAAAGUGAAUGGUUUUCUCUGGACAAAAUUACCAAAUUUUAGGGCAGAAGGGGUGCUUUGAACUACAACUAUUAUUUAACAGUGGGUAAUUCUAUAAAACUCAUUUUUGCUGGCUUUUAGGUGUUAUAACAUGACUUGAUACAAAUUUCUAGUCAUUAAUACCUUUUAAUUCUUUUCCUAUGGUUUUCUUAAGGUUUCUAGCCAAAGGGGUGCUUUCUACUACCACUAUAUUUGAAAAACAUCAAACAACAGAGUUCUUAUUUUUCUUGGUUAUUAUUUUGUGCAAGAGCAAUCAUUCUGAGGUUUGGCUUCUUUUUGCUUAAGGGAAGGGGUGGUUUGCAUUAUUUGAAUUAAGUGGUCUUUCUCUUUAAUCACUAGCAAAAGGUAUGAGUUUACUUCUUCUUCAUGGGUUUGCAUUUUUCUCUGGUGGUUUGUCUCAUCAUGGACUUAGCUAAUUUUUGGUUGCCCAUUAUCACAUUAUUUGGGGUUGUUCAUGAUUUAGUUGGAAAAUGCCUUAUUAUCACUUUGCAUUUAAUUUCCUUACUUAAAGAGUUGGGCUGGGGUGCUCUGUAUUUUUGUAGUGGGGCUCUGGUGGUUAUAAGUUCGCUGGAUUUUUAUUAAUCACUUUGGUUAUAGUUUUGCAAUUCUAAUAAUUGAUUUUCAGUCUACAUAAGGUUAAUUAAAUCAUCUUAAUUAAAAACUGGUCCAAAUUAAUGGUCUCUGUAUUUUUCCUAGGUUCUCUGUUGCAUAAGUAAACUAGGAAAAAUAUUAUUAAUCACUGUUCAUUAAUUCCUAAUGCCUUUUUGAUUUUCUCUAAGUUUUGGACAAAAUAGCUUUAAAUGAAUAACUACAUCAUAUUUUUCAAUGCUGGUGUUCCUACUAUUUUUAAACAGUGCCUAAAUAAGGUAUAAACAUCUACAAAUUUUCUUAAGCUCAGCACAAAAGAAAAACUAAUUUUCCUUAAUUAAACAAGGUUUAGUGGGUUUCUGUUUUUAAUUUUAAACUCUAAAAUUUAGAACAGAAAGCAUAGGGUUCACUAUUUUUAAAUGACAGAUCAUAAUAUUCCAGAGCUAGCAAAAUUGGUUUGACAACUUUUUAUUAUAAUUUCAUCAAGUUAUGGAUUUUCUAAGUUCUCUGGUCAUUUUAAAAAGAAUAACAGAAUUGAUUAAAUGGAAAUCCACUUUGCACUGGGGUCCCUGGCGGUUUUCUAAGUUUCCUUCGCGAAUAAGUCCUUAGGUUACUAUUCACAUGAGUCAUUGACAUUACAGAAAACCCCUCGGGUUCUACAGAUCCUAACCCGAGGUCCUUCUUCUACCUUAAACAGUAGCCGCGGCGAAGAAAAGGGCGGAGGGGCUUACCGGCGGCGAGACUGUUCCGGUGAAGUGGUUGAGGAUGAAGGGGAGGUCGCGGGGAUCACAACGGUGUGCGGAACGCCGUCGGAGAUGGCCGGAGUCGGUCGGUCCACGCGCGCAGGCGGGGAUGCUCGUCGGCGACGAGGAGACCGGCCUGGUCACGGCGAGAUAGUUCAAUCAAAUGGGUCAGGGAGGUCCACGGGAUGCCAGAGAAGCUAUGAGCGAAAGGAAUCGGGCGGAGACUCACUGGAUAGCUCGGUCCACGCGCGGCGGCGGAAGACCGAAGUCCGGUGAGGUCGAUCUCGGGCCUCCGGUGAAGUCCAGUCGGGUCCGAGGGCUUGGCGAGCUUCACGGGCUACUGGCGGAGCUAGCCGAAGCACUGGCUUGCCCAGAGGAUGGCUGGAGUGGGCUGGCCACGAUGGCCGAAGCUCUGGCGGCAAUGGCGGGCGGAAUUGAGCUCGCCGGAGCUAAGGGAAAGGGGCUGGCCGGUGAGGGUGAGUGCGGGGCGAAGUGGGCCGCGCCUGGGAGGGCUUUAUAGGCACGGCGCGGUGCACGGGCGGUCGUGGACCGGCGAGUGCGCGCGGGCGUGCACUGGGAAGGCGCGGUGCGCGAACGGGCGUGAACCAGGGGUGUCAGCCGCGGUCGAACACGUGUUCCCGUUGCCUCUGCCCCUGUUCAAGCGCCGAUUGGGAGCAAAUCUUCGCGAAUUUGGGCAAGAUCACUGCAAGGGAUUUGUUCACCAGACCAAGCUUUGUCUUUUGUGUAUGGACGACGUGCGGUUUUAGGCUAGGGACAGGGAGUUGUAGCGUCACCAAGGUGCCAGUGUCAGAAUGCCUGGUCCCGAGGUUAAGCUGCGCCAAAACCGUGUCAAAUGAAUUUGGUUUGAGUUCAAACUUUCCCAGAAUGUGUUCAAGGUAAUUUGGCACGACUUUGAUAUUUGGGUCUUCUGGCUUUGAGUUUGGAAAAACAGAGAACACAGAUGAUCUUUGAGAAGAGGUCUGAAAUUCAGAAAUUCAGGAAUCUGAAUUUCUCUAAGGGUUCAUUGAUCAAGGGCUGAUUUGGGGAUUUAUUUGAGUUAUUUUGGCUAAGCCUUCUCAAUCUUUCUUGUUGCUUAAUAAAUAUACUUUAACUUAUAUAUUUGGCUCAACUCAAAAUUUUAAACUUUUCAUCCUCUUUUUCAUAUUUUCUUAAAUCUUGUUCAUGGGGUUUACUUAGGGUUUUGAAUUAGGGUUGCACAAUCUUAUCUUUUAAAGGACUCAAUUGCUUUGAUCAUGACACUUUUAAGUAUAUACUUGGUGAAUUCUUUCUCACUUAAAUUGUUUUGUUGCUCAUGCUUACUUUGGUUCACAUAAAAUAAUGGUUCUUGGUUUGGCUUUUUAAGAGAAACCCUAGGUGACACUGGGGUGUCACAUGUUCAAUACACUUCGUCCUCUUUAUUAUAUAAAUAUGAAUCUAUGCAACACCAACAGCCACCCAAUGUGUGGUUGCAACCAAUGUAAUGAGAAACUGUUAUGGUGGAUAAAUGAGAAUGCAUACACAUGCAUACUUUUGUAGAAGUUUCGGAAUGCAUACACCAUGCAUACUUCUGUACAAGUAUAAGGCCCUGUUCGGUUUUCACGAAUUGGAGCUCCGGAAUGAUUUCUAGCCGGAUUACUUAUCUAAUUUAUAUAAGUUUUGAUGAGCUGGACGAAUCCCGGUUCAUUCAUGGACAAGUGAAUGGUCCCUAAACAAAUCAUGCACCUUGUAAUACGAUAUAUAUUCCUGACUACUACUAUAUAUAUUAUGCGUAUUAGUGUACAAUUCUGCCUUAUAAUGCAUCAGUAUAUUGUCAACGCGAAGGUCACUGUCAAGAUGACCUAGCUAUAUAUUAAAGUGAGAGCAUCUGUCCUAAUUUUCUUUGGCAUUUCUAUGAUGUUGAAAAAAACAUAAUUGAUUCAAGACUCUGCAUAGUGCUUAUCACCGUGGAAUUUCGAACAAACUCUCAAGUGCAUUGAUGUAUAGCACACUCAUUCUAUUUUACAGUGGUUGCUUCAACCCCACACAGAUAAAGGUAAAAAGGUCGGUCUUCCUCUUCAAUCUCCUCCAAAGAGGUAAACUUCUAUAAUUAACUCCCUAUCCACCAGUUAAUCCAUUUACUUACCAAAAGUAUUAAUACACAAAUAUAUAUACCAUUUGUAGCACCAUAUAAUAAAAAUACUUUUUGUCCUUGCGUAUAACAAUAUAAACACUAUCUACUCCUAUAUAUACUUUUACAUACACAACAUGUUUCUACUCCAUUGCCAGGUGACCGGUCAGAUUAAUAAAACUUCACUUUUCCAUUUCACAGGGUUUAACAAGGAUCACUACACAUCAACGAUUCUACCGGCUAAAAGGAUUUGCUUAAUGUAGCCUCACCUUAUGUUAUCGAUCCUACCUUAACCCUUCAGUCAUGCCUGUUACAUACAACUGUUGUGUUGAUGCUUAUAUUAACCUCAUAUGACGACCUAAAUAGAUAUGACAUCAAGACUCUACAUAUAUCAUCAGCAUAAGUUAGGAUUUUGUAACUUGGGACAGUACAUGGAUAUAUAAUUAGCCUUCAUAUUGUGCUACCUGAUUGUUGAAGCUAUCUGAUCAUUGCAACCUUUAUAUUUUCGAACACGCACAACUUCGAACCAGUACCAAAG